UACGGAGGGUGCGAGCGUUGUCCGGAAUCAUUGGGCGUAAAGAGCUCGUAGGCGGCCACUCAAGUCGAAUGUGAAACCUCGAGGCUUAACCUCGAGCCUGCAUUCGAUACUGGGCGGCUAGAGUCUGGUAGGGGGAUCUGGAAUUCCUGGUGUAGCGGUGGAAUGCGCAGAUAUCAGGAGGAAUACCGGUGGCGAAGGCGGGAUCCUGGGCCAGUACUGACGCUGAGGAGCGAAAGCGUGGGGAGCAAACAGG
rnacentral:rRNA from 1 species